GCCGUUUCCUAUUUGAAAACUGAACAACUGCAGCUCACGUAAUCAUCCAAACACACUUUCGUGACACUGUUGAACAUUAUGAACAGAACAUUGACUCAGUGUUAAUAGCAAACAAAAAGGUGAAUCAACAUUUGUGCAGUGGACGUGUAAUUAUGUUCGAUAGAAGCCAUUGCGAAAUGGUUUUGCCAUUAUCUAAACACGCCUUUAUGAUGGUUGCCACGUUUGAUAAGCAAGGUAAAGGUUGAAAUCGGUCAUUCAGCGAAAUGGAACCUGUGCAGAGGAGAAAGAAAUAGCACCAGAAAAACGAAGGUAA